rnacentral:rRNA from 2 species
AAUCGUGGAUCAGAAUGCCACGGUGAAUACGUUCCCGGGCCUUGUACACACCGCCCGUCACACCAUGGGAGUGGGUUGCAAAAGAAGUAGGUAGCUUAACCUUCGGGAGGGCGCUUACCACUUUGUGAUUCAUGACUGGGGUGAAGUCGUAACAAGGUAACCGUAGGGGAACCUGCGGUUGGAUCACCUCCUUACCUUAAAGAAGC